rnacentral:rRNA from 1 species
UACGGAGGGUGCAAGCGUUAUCCGGAUUUACUGGGUUUAAAGGGUGCGUAGGCGGGCCUGUAAGUCAGUGGUGAAAUCUUCCCGCUUAACGGGAAAACUGCCAUUGAUACUAUAGGUCUUGAAUUCAGUUGAGGUGGGCGGAAUGUGUCGUGUAGCGGUGAAAUGCUUAGAUAUGACACAGAACACCGAUUGCGAAGGCAGCUCGCUAAACUGACAUUGACGCUGAGGCACGAAAGCGUGGGGAGCAAACAGG